UACCAGCACCCCGAGUGGUCGGGACGUUUUUAUUGGGCCUAAAGCAUCCGUAGCCGGUUCUACAAGUCUUCCGUUAAAUCCACCUGCUUAACAGAUGGGCUGCGGAAGAUACUAUAGAGCUAGGAGGCGGGAGAGGCAAGCGGUACUCGAUGGGUAGGGGUAAAAUCCGUUGAUCCAUUGAAGACCACCAGUGGCGAAGGCGGCUUGCCAGAACGCGCUCGACGGUGAGGGAUGAAAGCUGGGGGAGCAAACCGG
rnacentral:rRNA from 1 species